CCUACGGGAGGCUGUAGUGGGGAAUAUUGGACAAUGGGCGAAAGCCUGAUCCAGCCAUGCCGCGUGUGUGAAGAAGGCCUUCGGGUUGUAAAGCACUUUCAGUGGGGAAGAAAGCCUUGGGGCUAAUACCCUCGAGGAAGGACAUCACCCACAGAAGAAGCAUCGGCUAACUCCGUGCCAGCAGCCGCGGUAAUACGGAGGGUGCGAGCGUUAAUCGGAAUUACUGGGCGUAAAGCGCGCGUAGGCGGUCUGAUAAGCCGGUUGUGAAAGCCCCGGGCUCAACCUGGGAACGGCAUCCGGAACUGUCAGGCUAGAGUGCAGGAGAGGAAGGUAGAAUUCCCGGUGUAGCGGUGAAAGGCGUAGAGAUCGGGAGGAAUACCAGUGGCGAAGGCGGCCUUCUGGACUGACACUGACGCUGAGGUGCGAAAGCGUGGGUAGCAAACAGGAUUAGAUACCCGGGUAGUC
rnacentral:rRNA from 1 species